GGUUUCGGAUGCAGGCGCGUGGUGGUCACGGAGCGCGGGAUCUGGCGGCGGAGAAACUAUGCCGGCGAGCAAUUGUUGUUUCCUCGGUCGUUGAUUGCGCCCGGGAAGAAGUGCUACACUAUCCACGGGGUUCCGCGCUGCACCAAGGCUAAACUCCGGUCCACAAGCGUCCUCACGGUUGAAUGUCGCCGAUGGCGACACACUCUCUCUCUCGGCGUGGUGAUCUUGCGUCUCUGGCUAACCCAACGAUGGCGACUUCACAAGGUUUAAAUGCGGAGCUGGAAGAGCGAUCCCAGGGUUCCUUUUUAUCACCUCACCCUAGGUCAGAGGAGGGAUACGGGCUGCUCCACGUUCCGCGCCGCGGUUCUGUUGCGCCGUGGAAGAAAC
rnacentral:lncRNA from 7 species